CGACGGUCCCCCACUGUGUGACAGAUGGGAGCAGCAAGGGACCAAACUGUCGCCUGGAACCGCCAGCCUUGUGAGGAAUGAUAUAACAUAAAAUAAAGGUGAACUACACCCGUGUAUAAAAAGGAAAAGGCACAGAAGACAGGAUUGUAGCUGUACUCAAAAAGUGGAAGACAACAUUGUUGCUGGCAGUGGGGCCUGAGACACAUAAGACAUUGCAAGAGCCACUUGGUUUCUUCAAUUGAUCAAAGUUGCCAGCAUAUUGAGAUACAGCUGAAAAAAAUCAAGAUCAGUGAUGAAACUUGCAAAGGAUGCUAUUACCGAGAAACAAGUCUGUGAGUCCCCAGGCGUUUGAAUGAAGUUUCAAAAAUGAAAACUUAUGGGAAGUGAAGACAGAUGCACAAGCAACUCAGAAUUAUUGGGAGUGAAAUUUGACUUUGUCAGUAGUAUAAAAUGAUCAACAGUGAGUCAGUUGACCAUUUUGCACAAUAGUCAAUGGAAAAGAAAAAUCCAGUGAGUUGUAAAGUGGGGUAUAGAUUUACAAUCUGGGUUGACACUACUACCAAAGUUGAAUUUCACCCUCCUUUCAUUCUGCUAUCAAUGGUGACUUGGUUUGUCUGGUUACAACGGACAUCCAAUGUACUAGAAAAAUCAGGUCCAUACUAGAAGUAAAUUACAUUUCAAAAUUAUCAUUAGCAGAACAGUUUGUCCAAAGCUACCCCUAAGGUGAUAUUUGUAUUGCACUGAACUAACUUUUCCCUCAUCCUAAGGCAACUUAGGUCUCAUGGUUGGUAAACCUCACUGAUGAUUGGUUGUGCAGCCUUGCAGAAAGUAUGUUUAAUCUGACUUUUUUAAAAAUCCUUGAAUAGUACAUUCUUGUGCUUGACGGAGCAUGUAUUUAUAACUUUUUAUG